rnacentral:snRNA from 1 species
GUGCUCACUUCAGCAGCACAUAUUCUAGAACUGGAACACUAGCGAGAUUAGCAGGGCCCCAUGGGCAAGGGCGACAGGCAGUCACGAAACAAUUCAUAUUUUG